CCCUUGCUUGAUGGUGCUGGAUAUGUCAAUAAACUGAUCGUGGAUUAUCUCCAACUGUGUACUACCUCUCUCGCUCUCAAUGGUGACGCAGAUCUCCUUUUGAUCGAUAUGCCAUUGUUUCGUGCAGCGGGUUGAGGUUUGUCUCUGAGCUUCCCUCUUUUGAUUUUAUUUAUUUUUUCUGUUGGUCCUUUUUUGUUUGGGAAUUAAGAGGACUGCAUGCUCCUUCCUUGAGGUGUGUAGAAUUUGCUAUCUUACAUAGACAUCAUAUUCCAAAACUGAAAUAUGCUGAACAAUGCUCCCAUGACUGAGAACAAAAACGAGGCCUGAAUUUUUAUAUUAUGUGCCUUCCAACUUUUUGCAGGUAUGUAAUGCGCAGUUCAGGGGCAUAAUUAUGAUUGAGCACCAAAAUGAGACCUGAAUCCAACUUCUUACAGAUAUAUUAAGUGGGCCUUUUUAUGCAUAUUCGCUCAGAAAUAUCAACUAUUUGUUCUGAGGGAAGCUAAUAUGAGCUCCAUUACUUCAAUGCAGGUUCGGGUGUGCUUGUGCAGAUAGUCGAUGGGGCUCUUGGCCUUCUAGCUAUAGACUGAUUGACAAGCAUGGUUCAUUGUUAUUUCCUUCCUUAAUAGGUAAUGGCACUACACCUAUCUCAGUUCUCUAUAGACAUCACUCCUAUUUCUAGCCAUCAGUUCUGUGUCUAGCCAUCAGUUUUUGUUUCAGUAGCAAAUAACCAAAAUGAAUGGAUAUUAUUUGCUGUAGUAUUGUAAGGGAAGCAGGUUCUCCAAAUAAAUGUGGAAGAUUGCAGCAUGAAGGGUAUCACUUCACCGGAUUUUUCUACUUCUUGGUGGGCAGCUAAAUUAGUUUCCUUGGUCCGUUUCUCAACUUAUCAUAGAAGAACUCUUUAUCUCUGUAAUUUUCUCUUUAUUAGCGCUGAAGGCAUAGAUCAAGUGCUACAUGGCUAUGCUCUUAGGAGCUUAGAGCAUCAGUGGUUGGCCUCCUUUCUAUUUGUUAUUUUUUCUAGGAUUUGCGUGUGUUAAUCGGAUGAAUAUAUGGAAGGAUACAGAGAGGCCAGAGGUAUAUAUUCUUCUACCAAUAAAAAUCAUUCCAUUCUUUUCUUCACUCGAUUAAAAUAAUUUGGUCGAUCGUAGGAAGUUCCACUAUUUAUGUGUACUGCUCUCAAUAAAACAUAGGCUAGAAAAGUUCCCUUCAGUAUGCAUUCUCAUGUUAUUAAAACAUUUUUGUGGUGCAGUCUGUUAGGCAAACUCUGUUUUCCAGUCAACAGUUUUUACCUGCUUUUCAAUGCAUGUAAUACUGCUGACUUCUCUUCAAGUCCUAGCUGGUUUGUGUGCAUUUUAUGGUUCAGUGUAUCAUUGCAAGAGUUUAUGGUUCAGUGUAUCACUGCAUGUUCCUAACACCGACAAAUUUUAAUGUUUUUUGUAUUUUUUUCGAUGCAAGCCUAUUCUUCGACUAUAAGACAAUAGAGAUUUCCUAUUAAGUCUAAUCUUUUUUGGGUGCAUUACAGAGUUUGCUAUCAAAUUCUAAAGCAGCAAGAAGAUAGCCAGCCUAAAUGAAUCAAGACAUGAACAAGUGUCGAGAAGUUACGGAUGCAGAAGUGCAACUGGUAUCGCCUCUAUUUUUUUUGUCUCAAAUCAACCGCAGAAAAAACUACUGGAUAAUCAUCUUGCCACUUUAUAAUUGGCUUACUGCUAUGAUCCUGGUGUUAUUUGCUAUGAGAAAAACGAGAGGUUCAAUGUGCGCCUCAUAUCAUCACAUCAAAUGGAAUAAUUGGAUAGGCUUAUGUAUCAUCAUAUCUGCACACAUAAUCUCUUUUAUGAUUGUUUACCUCUUCAGUCUACUAUUCUUAGAUGAUGAACUUCUGCUCUUUUAUGCCAAGUAGUUAAAUUUGUGUGCAUGUUCUCAUGGAUCAUACUUAGAUUUUGCAACUGUGGCCCAUAGGGCCAUGCUAAUUAGUCCUGGCCAUGAUCAGGAGUAAAUUUAUACAAAUUUUAAUUUGCAUGGUAUUUUGUCCAGCACCAAAGGCACCAAUGGUGCUAUUGUUAUGCUUAUUUUUCACUUGAUAAGAAAAUAUACGUACAAAAUCUGCUUGAAGUUGUAACUGUAACUGUACGUCUGCAUUGGAUAAUUUCUUGGACUCGUGUACAGUAGCUUGCAGGAUCUUUUCAGAAGCAGCCCAUAGGAAGUAUAAUCAGGCAUCUUCAGCUGCAAAAGUUUCAUUCAGCAGGCUUUUCCAUGUUGCUAUAUCUGGAUGGUCCGAGUUUCAAAAGAUUUUCUUAGAGACGUUAGGUAAAUUUGGCUAUAAUGGCCCUCCACAUAGUAGGAAUGAUCCUGCAAAAUUCCUAUGUAUGCUUGCCUAUGUCUCAGUUUCAGUUGAAUUUAUACAUACCGUCUAGCUCAUUUUGGUGCCUCUUUUUUGGAAUUCCUAGCAUUUUCUGACCUAUGUGGGUUUUCUCUUAUAAUCUGAGGAGUCCUUAAAAUUGUCGAUAAUAUUAUAAAAUACUAAUUGAUAAUAGAAGAGUUCAAGGGUUUACCACGUUCUGCAAUUAUCUUUCAUUAGGAACCAAGACGGCAAUCCUCCAAACUUUUCAGCAAUUUCCUAUGUUUUUUCGCAUGUAGGCAUAAUAAAAAGUUUAUAGAAACACUAUUU
rnacentral:lncRNA from 1 species